rnacentral:rRNA from 1 species
AUGCCGCUGCGAUCUGCCGAGGUAGUUGAUACAUGUCAGUGUCAGGUCUGGGAUUCUAAUGUAGUCUACCGAAGCUUGAUCUACAAGGACGCACAGCCAAAGCCAAGUACUAGAAAACGAUAUGUACAGGAGGUUUGUAUUGACUCAUGGACAGGGGAAGUUUUUGCUCAGCGCAGCAGUAGAAAGAUGAGUAUAUUUCUUGUCGCAGCCCUGGUGGCCUGCCUUGCCAGCCAUGGAGCCGGCACGGCCAUGGCUUCGGCAGCUUCAGAUGACCAAGAUUUCUUCAGAAACUGUCUGCUGUCUCGAUGCAGCAGAGAUGGACCCGAGAUCCGGUUCCCUCUCCAGCUUGAUUCCAGCAACACAUCAUCAUCAUCGUCAUCAUCCUGCGGCGCGACGACAUGCGUGAAGCUAGCAUGCUCAGGCCAAGACACCAUCAUGCUUCACCCACUUCUUGGCCCAUGCCGUGUCACCGCCGUAAAUUACACCGGUGCCUCCCUCAGCAUCACCCCGCUGACCUCCGCCUGCACGAUGAUUCACAAGCUCGUCUCGACAAGCUCACCACCAGCUGACACCGACCACCGCUGUGCUCUGCACUACAGUGGAGCUGGAAAGCUUGUCGGCUGCUCAAGGAAAUUCACGCCAAGCGGGGUCACUCAGUAUCCUGUCUAUGACGACAGAGGUGCUUUCUAUGCUUCUGCCUCGGCCGCCGCUGCCAUCGCUGGCCCAAUCUCCUGCCUUGGCAGCGAAACUCGCUUCUCGUAUUUGGUGGCAACUGAUGCUUUCAUGUAUGAUCUUCCAUUGGACUGCAAGGUCAUCUCAGAUGCUGCCAUCCCAAUAUUUGGCAUAGGGUUUUAUGGCUCGGCUAACAAGCAUGGUAUGGAAGAAGGAACCCUCCGUUUUCAUGACAUAGCAGCUGACUGGAGCGAACAGGAGCCGUCAUCCGUUGCCUCUCAGUGCCAAAAAUGCGAGUUGAAUGGGCAACGCUGUGCCUUCAGCUCACAAAGGAAUGAAACAUUCUGCUUGUCUCAACCUCAUAAAGGUUCACGUGUCAAAGUCAUUGCAGCUACAUCAUCGGCGGCUGCAUUCGUUGUUCUUGUGUUGAUGGUGGCCACUGCUCUUUAUCUUUCACUGAAAACAAGAUACAAUGAAGAGAUACACUUGAAAGUCGAAAUGUUUCUCAAGACAUAUGGUACAUCAAAGCCAACAAGGUACACUUUCUCCGAAAUUAAAAAGAUAACGAGACGCUUCAAGGAUAACUUAGGACAUGGUGGAUUUGGAAGCGUGUACAAAGGUGAGCUGCCAAAUGGGGUUCCUGUGGCCGUCAAGAUGCUUGAGAACUCUAAUGGAGAAGGGCAGGAAUUCACCAACGAAGUUGCAACUAUUGGGAGAAUCCACCACACAAACAUUGUCCGACUACUUGGCUUUUGCUCUGAAGGGAGUAGAAGGGCUCUUAUUUACGAAUUCAUGCCUAAAGAUUCAUUGGAGAAAUAUAUAUUCUCAGGUAAUUCUAUUAUUUCUCGAGAACUCCUCGUACCAGACAAAAUGCUAGAUAUUGCUUUAGGCAUUGCUAGAGGAAUGGAGUACUUACAUCAAGGAUGCAACCAGCGCAUCCUCCACUUCGACAUCAAGCCUCGCAAUAUCUUACUGGACUACAACUUCAACCCGAAGAUCUCAGACUUCGGCCUUGCAAAGUUGUGUACAAGGGAUCAAAGCAUCAUCACCUUGACCGCAGCAAGAGGCACUAUGGGCUAUAUCGCGCCAGAGAUUUACUCUAGGAACUUUGGUGGGAUAUCCUACAAGUCAGAUGUCUACAGUUUCGGCAUGUUGGUGUUAGAAAUGGUGAGUGGACGGAGGAACUCAGACCCAAGUACGGAGAGCCAGAACCAGGAAUACCUCCCGGAGUGGAUCUACGAGAAAGUAAUCACUGGAGAGGAACUGGUGCUUACUGUGGAAGUGACACCGGAAGGGAAAGAAAAGGCGAGACAGCUGGCUAUCGUGGCCCUUUGGUGUAUUCAGUGGAACCCAAGAAACCGGCCAUCAAUGACAAAGGUGGUAAACAUGUUAACUGGAAGCUUACAGAAUCUGCAGGUGCCCCCUAAGCCAUUUGUCCCAUCUGAAAAAUCACCGCAUGCCAUAGACAAACAUGGAGAUAUAUCACCAUAG